rnacentral:rRNA from 1 species
GAAGCACGCGCUGAGUGAAGAAGUUUCGAUCGUAAAACUCUGUGUUAGGGAGACAGUCAGUAGUAACUGACCUGACCUUGACAGUACCUAACCAGAAAGCACGGCUAACUACGUGCCAGCAGCCGCGGUAAUACGUAGAUGGCAGCGUUGUCCGGAUUUAUUGGGCGUAAGCGCUCGCAGGCGGUCUUUUAAGUCUGAUGUGAAAGCCCACGGCUUAACCGUGGAGGGUCAUUGGAAACUGGAGGACUUGAGUGCAGAAGAGGAGAGUGGAAUUCCAUGUGUAGCGGUGAAAUGCGUAGAGAUAUGGAGGAACACCAGUGGCGAAGGCGACUCUCUGGUCUGUAACUGACGCUGAGGAGCGAAAGCGUGGGUAGCGAACAGGAUUAGAUACCCUGGUAGUCCACGCCGUAAACGAUGAGUGCUAGGUGUUAGGGGGUUUCCGCCCCUUAGUGCUGAAGUUAACGCAUUAAGCACUCCGCCUGGGGAGUACGGCCGCAAGGCUGAAACUCAAAAGAAUUGACGGGGACCCGCACAAGCGGUGGAGCAUGUGGUUUAAUUCGAAGCAACGCGAAGAACCUUACCAGGUCUUGACAUCCUUUCGACCUCCCUAGAGAUAGGGAUUUCCCUUCGGGGACGAAAGUGACAGGUGGUGCAUGGUUGUCGUCAGCUCGUGUCGUGAGAUGUUGGGUUAAGUCCCGCAACGAGCGCAACCCUUGAUCUUAGUUGCCAGCAUUAAGUUGGGCACUCUAAGGUGACUGCCGGUGACAAACCGGAGGAAGGUGGGGAUGACGUCAAAUCAUCAUGCCCCUUAUGACCUGGGCUACACACGUGCUACAAUGGAUGGUACAAAGGGCAGCGAAACCGCAAGGUCAAGCAAAUCCCAUAAAACCAUUCUCAGUUCGGAUUGUAGGCUGCAACUCGCCUACAUGAAGCCGGAAUCGCUAGUAAUCGCGGAUCAGCAUGCCGCGGUGAAUACGUUCCCGGGUCUUGUACCACCACC